UAAAGAGAGAUGGAUUCAUGAGGAGAGCUCAGCCGAACGGUUUCCACCGCUGCGUAACAAUGUCCGCGUUGGUCGCCGUCGAACUUUAGAAUAAAGCUGGGUGAUGGUCUACUACAAAGAAUCCAUAUCAGAUUCUUUCAAGGCGCCGCCACAGCGGCUGGGGCAGGGUGUCGUCGAGCAUCUCAUGGCGACAUGUUGAAAGCUUGGGCGCAGUAGUAGACUACCAGAUGUGGAGGGCAAUCCUCAAACAAGGACAAAAAACAACCCAGGAAGCUCUGGUCCACUAUUGAUGACGUCGAGAGUUUGAGCAAGGUAGAAACAAGUCCAGACACGUCUUCGUUCACAAACAGGGGGGGUGACGAUGGAGGCGUGCCGGAACAACACCGGUGACAGAAAUUCCGCCGGUAGCUGCGAAAUUCCAAGAAGGUGGCAGACUAUUCUCGGCGGCGAAAUAGUAACAGAUUCAUUGGCGGUUGAUAAGCUAAAGUGGCAUAGGAAGAUGGAACAAAUGCAUAAAAGUGGAAGUGUAAGACAAAUUUGCAUAGUGGAUGCAUAAAUGGCUUUGGUGGAUGUGCAUAAAAUGACAAAAGACAAAAAUAAAUUAUAUGAUGAUGAUGGAAACAUGUGGAGGAUUUUAUGGCCAAAAAGCAUAAAGCAAAAGCAAAAGAUGGCAUAAAAUCAGGGAUGGUGGACUGCAGCACAUUUCGGCUAGCUGGAUUUUUGGAGCGAGAAAAUUCCUUCUCGACGCGUCGAGAGUGUCCAGUACGCAGCAGAAUUCAUUCUCGACGCGUCGAGAAUGUCUCUCGACGCGUCGAGAAUGUCUCUCGACGCGUCGGGAAUCCAGCCCGGGGCGCGAAUCAACUUUGCAAAAUUCCAGUUUUGCCCCUUCUUUUGCCCAACUAUAAAUACUCCUCAUUUCUCCAUUCUUCAACAUCUAAUUUUUUUUAGUCUAGAUUAGUCCCUUCCCCUCUUCUCUUAAUCCUUUUCUUCUCCUUUCAAAAUGUAGACCUCCAAGUGAGGAUUGAGGAUUGUUUAGUAGUGUAGGAGUAGAUUAGGAUUUAUUUUGUAAUAAGAAGAGGGAUGAUGCAAGAUUAGGAGCUACAACCGUUGGAACGAGGAGAAAGCGAUGAGAAUUUCUUUCCCUUAUUUCCUUUACUUAUCUUGAAUUAAUCUUGUAUCUAGAUGCUUGUUCUUAAUAUAUUUGGAUUAUGGAUUGUGUUUAUGUCUA